UACAGAGGGGGGCAAGCGUUAUUCGGAAUUAUUGGGCGUAAAGGGCGCGUAGGCGGCCUGACAAGUGGAUGGUGAAAUCCCUCGGCUUAACCGAGGAACUGCCAUCCAGACUGUUUUGGCUUGAGACCGGGAGAGGUGAGUGGAAUUCCCAGUGUAGCGGUGAAAAUGCGUAGAUAUUGGGAGGAACACCAGUGGCGAAGGCGGCUCACUGGACCGGUACUGACGCUGAUGCGCGAAAGCGUGGGGAGCAAACGGG
rnacentral:rRNA from 1 species